rnacentral:sRNA from 1 species
AGAUGGCGGACAAAACGCCAGGCGGAUCUCAGAAGGCCAGUUCAAAGACGAGAUCAUCAGAUGUUCAUUCAUCUGGAUCUUCGGAUGCACAUAUGGAUGCAUCUGGACCCUCAGAUAGUGAUAUGCCAAGUCGGACACGACCUAAGAGCCCAAGAAAACAUAAUUAUAGGAAUGAAAGUGCCCGUGAAAGCCUUUGUGAUUCUCCUCAUCAGAAUCUCUCAAGACCUCUUCUGGAAAACAAACUUAAAGCAUUCAGUAUUGGAAAAAUGAGUACAGCUAAGCGAACUUUAAGUAAAAAGGAACAGGAAGAAUUAAAGAAAAAGGAGGAUGAAAAGGCAGCUGCUGAGAUUUAUGAGGAGUUUCUUGCUGCUUUUGAAGGAAGUGAUGGUAAUAAAGUGAAAACAUUUGUGCGAGGAGGUGUUGUUAAUGCAGCUAAAGAAGAACAUGAAACAGAUGAAAAAAGAGGUAAAAUCUAUAAGCCAUCUUCAAGAUUUGCAGAUCAAAAAAAUCCUCCAAAUCAGUCUUCCAAUGAAAGACCACCAUCUCUUCUUGUGAUAGAAACCAAAAAACCUCCACUUAAAAAAGGAGAGAAAGAAAAGAAAAAAAGCAAUUUGGAACUCUUCAAAGAAGAAUUAAAGCAAAUUCAAGAGGAACGUGAUGAGAGACAUAAAACAAAAGGCAGAUUAAGUCGAUUUGAACCUCCUCAGUCAGAUUCUGAUGGUCAGCGUCGUUCUAUGGACGCGCCUUCAAGAAGAAAUAGAUCAUCUGUUCUUGAUGAUUACGCACCUGGCUCACAUGAUGUAGGAGAUCCAAGCACUACUAAUUUAUACCUUGGAAACAUUAAUCCACAGGUAAUAUUAAGUAAGAUGAAUGUUGAUUGA